AGCUCAGGAGGGAUAGCGCC
rnacentral:ncRNA from 4 species